rnacentral:rRNA from 1 species
UACGUAGGGUGCGAGCGUUGUCCGGAUUUAUUGGGCGUAAAGAGCUCGUAGGCGGCUUGUCGCGUCGACUGUGAAAUCCCGCGGCUCAACUGCGGGUCUGCAGUCGAUACGGGCAGGCUAGAGUUCGGUAGGGGAGACUGGAAUUCCUGGUGUAGCGGUGAAAUGCGCAGAUAUCAGGAGGAACACCGGUGGCGAAGGCGGGUCUCUGGGCCGAUACUGACGCUGAGGAGCGAAAGCGUGGGGAGCGAACAGG